AAAGAUUAAGCCAUGCAUGUCUAAGUAUAAGCAAUUAUACAGCGAAACUGCGAAUGGCUCAUUAUAUAAGUUAUCGUUUAUUUGAUAGUACCUUACUACUUGGAUAACCGUGGUAAUUCUAGAGCUAAUACAUGCUAAAAAUCCCGACUUCGGAAGGGAUGUAUUUAUUAGAUUAAAAACCAAUGCCCUUCGGGGCUCCUUGGUGAUUCAUGAUAACUCCUCGAAUCGCAUGGCCUUGUGCCGGCGAUGGUUCAUUCAAAUUUCUUCCCUAUCAACUUUCGAUGUUUGGGUAUUGGCCAAACAUGGUUGCAACGGGUAACGGAGGGUUAGGGCUCGACCCCGGAGAAGGAGCCUGAGAAACGGCUACUACAUCCAAGGAAGGCAGCAGGCGCGCAAAUUACCCAAUCCCGACACGGGGAGGUAGUGACAAUAAAUACUGAUACAGGGCUCUUUCGGGUCUUGUAAUUGGAAUGAGUACAAUUUAAAUCUCUUAACGAGGAACAAUUGGAGGGC
rnacentral:rRNA from 1 species